UACAGAGGUCUCAAGCGUUGUUCGGAUUCAUUGGGCGUAAAGGGUGUGUAGGUGGCGCGCUAAGUCGGGUGUGAAAUUUCGGAGCUUAACUCCGAAACUGCAUUCGAUACUGGCGUGCUUGAGGACUGGAGAGGAGACUGGAAUUCAUGGUGUAGCAGUGAAAUGCGUAGAGACCCGGAGGAACACCAGUGGCGAAGGCGGCAUCCUGGCCUGCGACUGACACUCAGGAGCGAAAGCGUGGGGAGCGAUCCGG
rnacentral:rRNA from 1 species